rnacentral:misc_RNA from 1 species
GUGAAAUCCACGGUCAAAGUCUUUUCCUAGGUUUCUUUCUUUGCACUUCUUCUAGGGCCCAAUCAAAAGAGGCAACACCAUAAGGAAAAACCUCUCCUUCUGGAUCAGCAACAACUCUUGUCAAUCAGUAUCUUACGGAAGAAAAAUUAAAUCAAUCGAGUUAGUCACUGGAUUCAAAAUUCAUUUGGAAGUUAAAUGGAUCGAGG